AUUGAACGCUGGCGGCAUGCUUUACACAUGCAAGUCGAACGGUAACAGGCCUUCGGGUGCUGACGAGUGGCGCACGGGUGAGUAAUGCAUCGGAACGUACCCAGAGGUGGGGGAUAACGCAGCGAAAGCUGUGCUAAUACCGCAUGUGAUCUGAGGAUGAAAGCGGGGGACCGAGCAGCAAUGUUUGGCCUCGCGCCUUUGGAGCGGCCGAUGUCGGAUUAGCUAGUUGGUGGGGUAAAGGCCUACCAAGGCGACGAUCCGUAGCUGGUCUGAGAGGACGACCAGCCACACUGGGACUGAGACACGGCCCAGACUCCUACGGGAGGCAGCAGUGGGGAAUUUUGGACAAUGGGCGCAAGCCUGAUCCAGCAAUGCCGCGUGCGGGAAGAAGGCCUUCGGGUUGUAAACCGCUUUUGGCAGGAACGAAACGGUGUCCGCUAAUACCGGGCGCUAAUGACGGUACCUGCAGAAUAAGCACCGGCGAACUACGU
rnacentral:rRNA from 1 species